AGUGAACGCUGGCGGCAGGCUUAACACAUGCAAGUCGAACGCCCCGCAAGGGGAGUGGCAGACGGGUGAGUAACGCGUGGGAAUAUCCCCUUUGGUUCAGGAUAGCCCCGGGAAACUGGGAUUAAUACUGGAUAAGAUCUACGGAUGAAAGAUUUAUCGCCGAAGGAUUAGCCCGCGUAAGAUUAGCUAGUUGGUGAGGUAAUGGCUUACCAAGGCUACGAUCUUUAGCUGGUCUGAGAGGAUGAUCAGCCACACUGGAACUGAGACACGGUCCAGACUCCUACGGGAGGCAGCAGUGAGGAAUAUUGGACAAUGGGCGCAAGCCUGAUCCAGCCAUGCCGCGUGAGUGAUGAAGGCCCUAGGGUUGUAAAACUCUUUUAGUUGGGAAAAUAAUGACGGUACCAACAGAAAAAGCUCCGGCUAACUUCGUGCCAGCCGCCGCCGUAA
rnacentral:rRNA from 1 species